rnacentral:rRNA from 1 species
UACGAAGGGUGCAAACGUUGCUCGGAAUUAUUGGGCGUAAAGAGCUCGUAGGCGGUCUGUCGCGUCGGAUGUGAAAACCCAGGGCUCAACCCUGGGCCUGCAUUCGAUACGGGCAGACUAGAGUUCGGUAGGGGAGACUGGAAUUCCUGGUGUAGCGGUGAAAUGCGCAGAUAUCAGGAGGAACACCGGUGGCGAAGGCGGGUCUCUGGGCCGAUACUGACGCUGAGGAGCGAAAGCGUGGGGAGCAAACAGG